CUGCUGCAGUAGAGGUCCCGGU
rnacentral:siRNA from 1 species